rnacentral:misc_RNA from 1 species
UUGAAUAAACUUGGUUAGGUUGUUGCUGGUCCUUAGGGGCAUGUGCACGCCGACUCCAUCUUUAACCACCUGUGCACCUUGCGUAGAUCUGAUAAUCUCGAGUAAACUCGGUUUGAGAAUUGCUGUGCAAACAGCUCUUCUUGUAAUCAGGUCUAUGUUUCUAUAUACCCCACAUGAAUGUAUUUUGAAUGUCGUAACUGGCCUUUGUGCCUUUAAAAACAAAUA